GAAAUGCGAUAAGUAAUGUGAAUUGCAGAAUUCAGUGAAUCAUCGAAUCUUUGAACGCACAUUGCGCCCGCCAGUAUUCUGGCGGGCAUGCCUGUUCGAGCGUCAUUACAACCCUCAGGCCCCCGGGCCUGGCGUUGGGGAUCGGCGGAAGCCCCCUGCGGGCACAACGCCGUCCCCCAACUACAGUGGCGGUCCCGCCGCAGCUUCCAUUGCGUAGUAGCUAACACCUCGCAACUGGAGAGCGGCGCGGCCACGCCGUAAAACACCCAACUUCUGAAUGUUGACCUCGAAUCAGGUAGGAAUACCCGCUGAACUUAAGC
rnacentral:misc_RNA from 1 species